rnacentral:lncRNA from 1 species
UUUGUUUGAACAUGGUCCAUCGCGAGAAGAAAAAUCACAAGCAGCUAGUCGAACCCCUCAAAUCCAUAAUUGUUUGAGUGGUUUUGGCACCAAGUAGCGGUCAAUGCCACACUGAGAAGGUAAGUAAUCUAGUUGACUUGUUCACGCGGAUGAAUCCAACAACUUGAAUUAGGUCCUUCUAGCUCCCAAGGUCGUUGACAAAUUAAAUCCUAUGUACAUUUUUAGGACUGCUUGGCAACGAAGAAC